GGCGGCCGAGGGCUGCCGAGGGGUAGGAGGGCCGCGCGGGACCCUCGGGCUCGCGGCCCUGAGCGAACUCAGGUAUUCUGGAAGAGCUCCGAGGGGGAGCGGACGAAGGGCCCCUCCUCGCCUCCUCGGCCAGUCGACUCUCAGGCUAAGGGGCCAGCCUGGCCUCCCACAAGCUGCUGAGCGCCCCCUCUACCCGCGGCACGCCUACCACCUCCCGCGGCGAGUGCGGGCGGCCUGCUGGAGCCCACAGGGCAAUAGCGGCAAGUCCCCCUCUCCAGGAGCCAGAGCGAGAAGGUGUUUGCCGUGCGUCCGCAGGACGCGGCAUCUCCUUCCAUUUGCCGAGCGUCGCGCGCCCCUUACCCGAAGACUUCGGGAUAGUGGUGCCGCCACUUCUGCCCGCAUGCCGUCUCCAUCUGCGCGGGCCUGUUUUCCAGCUCCCCAGCUCGUCUCCUACCCAUGCCCGGGGACAUCAUUCCUCAGAUGGGUAGCUGGCUCAGCUUGUCGUGAGAGAGCCCACAGUCAGGACCGGGGCCCAGGAGGGAAUCACUCCUGCGUCAAGUCUCUGGGCCUCGUUGGCCUACUCGACAACAUGAAUAAAUGCUAGAUGACUUACUGGAAGAAACUAAAGGUGGAAGAAAAUCAAAGUGAAUGUGAUAGUAUUCUUGAGGUUGCCUAGGAUUUUUCCAAGUAUGAAACAAGAACUAGAAACUAAAAGGAAAAAAAUGGUAAAAUUUAACCGCAUGAAGAUUGUAACUUGCAUACAAAGUUGAAAACAAUGUGCAUCAUUUGCAAUAAAAAAAAAAGUAUUCUUAGUAUACAGAGUUCUUAGAAAAUCAGUUAAAAACUUAAAUGCCCCAAGGGCCAGGGAUAUAGUUCAGUGCCACUGCAGUUGCCUGGCAAGCCCAAGGUCCUGAGUUCAAUCCCCAGUACCAACUAAAAAAAAAAAAUUAUUUAAAAAAAAAAGCCGGGCAUGGUGCUGCACACCUGUAAUCCCAGCACUCUGGAGGCUGAGGCAGGAGGAUCACAGCAAGUUUGAGGCCCCUGGGCUAAUAGUUCAGUGCCACUGCAGUUGCCUGGCAAGCCCAAGGUCCUGAGUUCAAUCCCCAGUACCAACUAAAAAAAAAAAAAUUAUUUAAAAAAAAAAGCCGGGCAUGGUGCUGCACACCUGUAAUCCCAGCACUCUGGAGGCUGAGGCAGGAGGAUCACAGCAAGUUUGAGGCCAGCCUGGGCUACAUAGUGAGUUCAAGGUCAUCCUGAACUACACAGUGAGACCCUGUUUCAAAAAACCAAAAAAAACUUAAAUGCCCCAAAUAAUAAAAACUGGCAAGAGAUACCAAACACGCAAUUAAUAAAUGAAUAAAUGUACAACUUCCAAGCAUCUUUUUUGUCUAUCAUUAUUGGUAUGAGUGUGGGAAUACAAUUCCUGUUGUGUAGUGUUGGUCUGAAGAUGAAAUUGAUACCUUCUUGUUUAGCAAAAUUUAAAAUAUGCAUUAGUUUUAGCCCCAGAAAUCUCAUUUCUGAGGCAUUAAGGAAAAGAAAAAUGAGAGAGUCACAAGAAUAUUGUUUGCCAUGACUUUUUGUUGUUUUUUUGGUUUUUUUGGUACUGGGGAUCGAAUCGGGACUUUGCGUUUGCAAAGUAGGCAGCGGCACCACUGAGCUAAAUCCCCAGCCCUGCCAUGACUUUUUAAUACAAUAUGUAAAUGCUUUUAGAAAUAACAGUAGAACACAAGAAAAUUAUGAUGCCUGCAUACAGUGGAAUACUCAGCCCAUUAAAGACAAUGUUUUUAAAUUGUAUUUAUAUAAAAAUAUGUCCAUAGAAUAAUAGGCUGGGUUUUCCCUAAGAAAAAAGCAGCCUACAGAUUAGCAUGCAUAGAACAUGUAUAUGUAUAUGUAUAUAUAGGUGUGUAUAUGUGUGUGUGUAGGAAAA
rnacentral:lncRNA from 1 species